GUAUGGCUGAGUGGAACAAGCGCCGGACUUGGAAUCCCAAGGCCGGUGGUUCGAUUCCC
rnacentral:tRNA from 14 species